rnacentral:rRNA from 1 species
AGAGUUUGAUCCUGGCUCAGAACGAACGCUGGCGGCAGGCCUCAAACAUGCAAGUCUGGGGGUGUAGCAAUACACACCGGCGGACGGGUGCGUAACGCGUGGGAACAUACCUUUCGGUACGGAACAACUGCGGGAAACUGCAGCUAAUACCGUAUACGUCCUAACGGAGAAAGAUUUAUCGCCGAAGGAUUGGCCCGCGUUCGAUUAGCUAGUUGGUGGGGUAACGGCCCACCAAGGCUACGAUCGAUAGCUGUUCUGAGAGGAAGAUCAGCCACACUGGGACUGAGACACGGCCCAGACUCCUACGGGAGGCAGCAGUUGGGAAUCUUGGACAAUGGGGGAAACCCUGAUCCAGCCAUGCCGCGUGAGUGGUGAAGGCCUUCGGGUUGUAAAACUCUUUCGACGGGGACGAUAAUGACGGUACCCGUAGAAGAAGCUCCGGCUAACUUCGUGCCAGCAGCCGCGGUAAUACGAAGGGGGCUAGCGUUGUUCGGAAUUACUGGGCGUAAAGCGCGCGCAGGCGGUCUUCCAAGUCAGUGGUGAAAGCCUGGAGCUCAACUCCAGAACUGCCAUUGAAACUGUUAGACUUGAGUACGAGAGAGGUGAGUGGAAUUCCCAGUGUAGAGGUGAAAUUCGUAGAUAUUGGGAAGAACACCAGUGGCGAAGGCGGCUCACUGGCUCGUAACUGACGCUCAGGCGCGACAGCGUGGGGAUCAAACAGGAUUAGAUACCCUAGUAGUCC